CAAGAGCUGUGCUCAAGAGCUAUCUUAUCUCACAAACCGGACCUUAAACUCCUAACCGGAAAAGCGUAAUGGUUGGUGCACGACAUGGCCAUCAAUACCAUAAGCUGUUCCAAGCUUGCACUUGAUUCAGCGACAGAUUUUCUCUCAUUCACUAGAGAUACACGGAAGUUCGGGCAUUCACCUGAAUCAAAUGACUCUCAUCACUCCUAAAAUUACAAGAAUCCUCGUCAAAAACAGAGCUACAUACAUAA